AUACGAAGGGGGCUAGCGUUGUUCGGAAUCACUGGGCGUAAAGCGCGCGUAGGUGGAUCAAUUAGUUGAGGGUGAAAUCCCGGGGCUCAACCUCGGAACUGCCUUCAAUACUGUUGAUCUUGAGACCGAGAGAGGUGAGUGGAAUUCCUAGUGUAGAGGUGAAAUUCGUAGAUAUUAGGAAGAACACCAGUGGCGAAGGCGGCUCACUGGCUCGGUACUGACGCUGAGGUGCGAAAGCGUGGGGAGCAAACAGAAUUAGAAACCCUAGUAGUCC
rnacentral:rRNA from 1 species